GAUGAAGAACGCAGCGAAAUGCGAUACGUAAUGUGAAUUGCAGAAUUCAGUGAAUCAUAGAAUCUUUGAACGCAUAUUGCGCUCUCUGGUAUUCCGGAGAGCAUGCUUGUUUGAGUAUCAGUAAACACCUCAACUUCCAUAUCUUUUUUGAAAUGGGAGUUGGACUUGAGUGAUCCCAACGCUUUUCCUCACCGAAAAGUGGCGGGUUACUUGAAAUGCAGGUGCAGCUGGACUUUUCUCUGAGCUAUAAGCAUAUCUAUUUAGUCUGCCUAAAAAACAGAUUAUUACCUUUGCUGCAGCUAACAUAAAGGAGAUUAGUUCUUGUGCUGACUGAUGCAGGAUUCACAAAGACGGCUUCGGCCGACUUUGUAAACUCGAUCUCAAAUCAAGUAAGACUACCCGCUGAACUUAAGCAUAUCAAUAAGCGGAGGA
rnacentral:misc_RNA from 1 species